GUUGUUUUCACAGUUUUUUACUGUUUUUCUCGACAGUUUCUUACUGUAUAAGUUGUUUACAGUUUGUUACUAUAGAUUUGUUGUUUCCACAGUAUUUUAAUGUAUUUUCAACAGUUUUUUACUGCAUAAGCUUUGUACAGUAGGCUACUGUAGUUUUCCAAUGCAUUAUGGGAAAUAUUACUCUGAAUACAGUAUUACCAACCAACUGCAAAACACAAUGACAAACGUCUAUUUAUAUCUUAAAUGCUUAAUUUUUUUGUGAGAUAUUUGUUUUAAUGUCUGUUUUCACAUCAGAUGCUCGGUGUGUUCCUUUAACAUAAAUCAGGUGCCUUUUCUGAGGCUUUAAUGAAAUCACCAGCCAAUUCAAUAGACAUACCAUCAGUUCUUAAUAUUGUUGCCUCUGGGUCACAAAAUGUAUUUUUAAGAUUAGUUUAGGCGAUAAUAUAUAUGUAUAAUCUUCAAAUAACAGUCGAUUAGUUAAAAAAGCGCUAAUUUUAGAAUUUGAUUAAACAAAUGCGGAGGGUUCAGGCGCGAGUCGGUCACGUGAUGUGCUCCUCAGUUCUGUCAGUAGGGGGAGUGGGAGAACGCGUGUGUGUCGUCGUAUCUGUUCUGCUCAUCUAGCGCGUAUUUCUUUAUUAAUAUCUGCUGGGUGAAUAUUAAUACGUAUAUGCUAACAUUAAUUUUGUGACCACAAAAUGACAGCGAUCUAUUAUACGAGAUAUUGUGUCGUCGUGUUUGUCUUCACUCACUUCAUCAUUAUCUGUGUAUGUAAAUCUGGGCUACAGUCCACGACAAAUUUUCUACGGUAGUUUUACGCCUGCAUGCUGGUCCUUUCGUCUAUCGCGGGGAUAUCAUCACUUCAGCGGACAUCGCACUGAAGAGAUCCUGUGCUUGCGUGGCGGUGUGUUUGUGUGCUCACUUGGAUUGAGACCAGCAGUGCUUUUUUAAACACUGGGUGAGUACUAACUUAUUAUUGUGUAGUUUCAUAAAAGCCUUACUCUUUUCAGUCACAUAACUUUUGUUCAUCUGCUAAUAAUAGGACUAUCCAUACACAAAGAUGUAUUGUGGAUUUAAGUAAUAUCUGCGAAUAUUUAUGUGAAAAUGUAUUAGUGUUCUGCUGACAUGAGAUCUGAAAAUGUGUUCUAGGACCUGAUAUGGAUUAAUCCAAUGAUCAACGUUUUCCUUUGUAUCCCUGUUUUGUAUACGCUGCCAUUACAUGAUGGUCAUAUGUCCCGGAUGAUAGGGAGAAGUCACGUGGUUCAAUUAUUAUUAUUUUUUUACGUGGUUCAAUUAUCUGUUAAUAAAUUUUUUUACCAUGCAUUUAGCAUCAGGCAAAGCCUGCAAUCAAUCUAUUAAGACAGAAACAAUAUCUUACUUAUUAUUAUGUUGUUAUUAUGACAAUAUCAUGUGAUCAUCUGAGUUAGAACAAAAUCUAUUCAUUUUCAGGUAUAACUGUGCAAGUGCCCUGAAUCAUUCUGUUGAAAUGUUAUGUGUUUAAGAUUCUUUAUGACAUCAAGAUGUGGUUUGGGAAGGACCUUCAUCUAAAUCUGAAGACAGGACAUACUGGCUCAAAAAGGUGUUUCUGAUAUGGAGAAAAACCCUGCACUGCUCAUUUUAUUUCUUCAUCUUGAGAAUACAGCAAGUUUACCUUUUGUCUGGAAAAUGAUUCAGCAAAGCUAACACCAACAACAAUUUUUCAAUGCACUUUAAACCACCUUGAUGUGAGGAGCCAGCAUCAGAAUGGAUGGUGUCAAUAUCCUGAAAGUGGAGGUAACAGAGGUGGAUCUCGAGACUUGGCCAUGUUCUAGAUUAUAACUGGAUUAUCACAAGUGCUGUCGCCCCUGCUGUAUAUGACGCCCCCACCACCUACACCAGGUGUAGGAAAUGUCGGUCCUGGAGUGCCGUUGUCCUGCAGAGUUUUGCUCCAGCUCUAAACAAACACACCUGAACAACUAGAUCUGAAGAGUCACCAGAAAACUACAGGUAGGCGAGGUUUUAUCAGGGUUGGAAAUGAAAUCUGCAGGAUUUCGGCACUCCAGGACCGACGUUGCCUACUACUGACCUACACCUUCAUCCUGCCACCACCACCCAUACUACCUACAAAAAACUGUAUUGUAAUUAUGCUUUUCACUGUAUUGUAUGAUGUGGUUUUCUCAUUUAGGGUAACUACACUAUGGCAACAAUUGGAUACAUUGAUUGCUGACUGAUUUUGUUAUUUUUUCUUUACUUUUUGUUUAAAAUCCAAUCAUUUU